AUUGAACGCUGGCGGCAGGCCUAACACAUGCAAGUCGAGCGAGCGGCGGACGGGUGAGUACUGUAUGGGGACUGCCCGAUAGAGGGGGAUAAAUACUGGAAACGGUGGCUAAUACCGCAUACUGUCGGAUAGACCAUAUAGGAUUAGCUAGUAGGUAAGGUAAUGGCUUACUUAGGCGACGAUCCCUAGCUGGUCUGAGAGUAUUAUCAGCCACACUGGGCCUGAGACACGGCCCAGAAUCCUACGGAGGCAGCAGUGGGGAAUAUUGCAAAAUGGGCGCAAGCCUGAUGCAGCCAUGCCGCGUGUAUGAAGAAGGCCCGAGGGUUGUAAAGUACUUUCAGUCGGGAGGCGUUACCGACAGAAGAAGCACCGGCUAACUCCGUGCCAGCAGCCGCGGUAAUUC
rnacentral:rRNA from 1 species